UCGUAACAAGGUUUCCGUAGGUGAACCUGCGGAAGGAUCAUUACAGUGUCUGGCUGGGCGUCCCCUAGGGGUCGCCCGCUACUGACCACCCUUGCCUACCUAACCACUGUUGCUUCGGCAGGCCCGCUCCUGGUGCUCCCUAACCGGGGCCCGGGUGCGGCCUGGGGCCUGGCUUAACCGCCGCCCGGGUGAGCGCCUGCCGGGGGAUUAGUUGAAACACUUGUUGAUCAGUGAGAACUCUGAGUUGAUUGCAAAAUCGUUAAAACUUUCAACAACGGAUCUCUUGGUUCCAGCAUCGAUGAAGAACGCAGCGAAAUGCGAUAAGUAAUGUGAAUUGCAGAAUUCCGUGAAUCAUCGAAUCUUUGAACGCACAUUGCGCCCUCUGGUAUUCCGGGGGGCAUGCCUGUCCGAGCGUCAUUACACCAAUCAAGCACGGCUUGUGAGUUGGGUCACCGUCCCCUAAGAAGGACGGACCCGAAACGCAGUGGCGGCGUCGCGGUUUCUCGAUCAGCCAGAGUGUAUGGGGAUUUCAUUCACACGCUCAAGGCCGGGACCGGCGCCAGUCGAUAACCAAACUAUUUAUCAAGGUUGACCUCGGAUCAGGUAGGGAUACCCGCUGAACUUAAGCAUAUCAAUAAGCGGAGGAA
rnacentral:misc_RNA from 1 species